GACGAACGCUGGCGGCGUGCUUAACACAUGCAAGUCGAACGGAAAGGCCCUGCUUUUGUGGGGUGCUCGAGAGGUGAACGGGUGAGUAAAACGUGAGUAACCUGCCCUUGACUUUGGGAUAACUUCAGGAAACUGGGGCUAAUACCGGAUAGGAGCUACUGCUGCAUGGUGGGGGUUGGAAAGUUUCGGCGGUUGGGGUUGGAGUCGCGGCUUAGCAGCUUGUUGGUGGGGUAGUGGCUUACAAAGGCUUUGACGGGUAGCCGCCCUGGGAGGGUGACCGGCCCCAUAGGAACUGGGGAGCGACCAGGACUCCAACGGGCGGCAGCGGUGGGAAAUUUUCGGCAAUGGGCGGAGGCCGGGUGCAGCAUCGCCGGGUCGGGAAUGACGGCUUUCGGGUUGUAACCGCUUUCGCCUGUGACGAAGCGUGAGUGACGGUAAUGGGUAAAGAAGCACCGGCUAACUACGUG
rnacentral:rRNA from 1 species